rnacentral:rRNA from 1 species
CGCGGCCUAUCAGCUUGUUGGUGGGGUAGUGGCUUACCAAGGCUUUGACGGGUAGCCGGCCUGAGAGGGUGACCGGCCACAUUGGGACUGAGAUACGGCCCAGACUCCUACGGGAGGCAGCAGUGGGGAAUAUUGCACAAUGGGCGGAAGCCUGAUGCAUCAACGCCCCGUGCGGGAUGACGGCCUUCGGGUUGUAAACCGCUUUCUCCUGUGACGAAACGUGAGUGACGGUAAUGGGUAAAGAAGCACCAGCUAACUACGUGCCAACAGCCGCGGUGAUACCUAGGGUGCGAGCGUUGUCCGGAUUUAUUGGGCGUAAAGGGCUCGAAUGUGGUUGAUCGCGUCGGAAGUGUAAUCUUGGGGCUUAACCCUGAGCGUGCUUUCGAUACGGGUUGACUUGAGGAAGGUAGACUGAGAAUGGAAUUCCUGGUGGAGCGGUGGAAUGCUCCCAUAUCAAGAGGAACACCUGUGGCUAACGCGGUUCUCUGGGCCUUUCCUGACGCUUAGGAGCGAAAGCUUGGAGAGCGAACAGGCUUAGAUACCCUGGUAGUCCACACUGUAUACGGUGGGUACUAGGUGUGGGGUCCAUUCCACGGGUUCCGUGCCGUAGCUAACGCUUUAAGUACCCCGCCUGGGGAGUACGG